GUGAGAGACUGUGGGAUAAAAUGGUAAAGUUGGAGCAAAGAAUGAGAGGAGGAGGUGCAGGGUCUAUCGUCCAAUAAAAACGCUCGGCGCUAGUUUUGACCGUGUGUUUUUUCCUCACGCAAGCGUUUGUAUCACAUCGGCGUAUGGCGCCAAUUUGUAAAGGUCAUAAGUCGAGACAUACAUCGAGUCUGUCAAUUUGUCCGCCAGUAAAUUCUGCAGGGCCGUGCCACCUGGCCAUCGAGGCGCCCCCCUACCCGGCCACGCGGGCCAUACAUCGAGUCUGACACUUUUGCCCUCCAGUAAAUUCUGUUUAAAGUUUUGUUUUCACAUACGUCCCAAAUUACAGAUAAUUUUCUUACACAGGCACGAGUAGCAUCAUCAAGGCCGUACCACCUGGUCAUACAUCAAGUCUGACAAUUUCCCCGCCAGUAAAUUCUGUUUAUAGUUUUGUUUGUCAUACAUGACCGUGCAGAUAUGGGGUGACAGAGACAAUUAAAUUGUAUUACGUCGAGCGGGGGGCCUUUUCCUCCUCCUAGAGGCACAACGCCUUACCAAAGUUUGUACCAGCCAAAGAACCACAAGUUUCAUCGAGACCUUACCCGGUAAGUAUAUUAUUUCUUUUAUUCCUGUUAUAAAAAUGCUAUUCAAUUAAAAAUAACAUUCUAAUAAUAGGUAUUCUCUGUUUUUUCUAUGUACAAGAGAGAGAGACUGCGCUGACCGGUCAAGAGAAAAUCUACAAGAGACCUGAAUCAGCAGUGUUAUAAAGCACAUAGCCAACGCUAAUUAAUAAAGAAUUUAAGCAUAAUAGCCCAGACGCCCAUGGCCUAUAGCUGGUAGAAACGGAGCUAUCCUACGGCCUACAAGAUAAAAGCAUAUGGCACCAAAUUGGAAUCAGUAGUCUUUAAAAGAAUAAAUGGACUAGCAACUGUCUCUGGGGGAGCAGCCCCGGUUAGGUACUAUUAAGCAGCAUUUAGUGACAUGCAUCAAAACACAUUUUUUAAAACUUUGACAGAAUAAAGUCUUAGUUAUUUUAAUAAA